UACAGAGGUGGCAAGCGUUGUUCGGAAUUACUGGGCGUAAAGGGCGCGUAGGUGGCCUUCUUAGUCAGACGUGAAAUCCCCAGGCUUAACCUGGGAACUGCGUCUGAUACUGGAAGGCUCGAGUUCGGGAGAGGAAUGUGGAAUUCCAGGUGUAGCGGUGAAAUGCGUAGAUAUCUGGAGGAACACCGGUGGCGAAGGCGGCAUUCUGGACCGAAACUGACGCUGAGGCGCGAAAGCCAGGGGAGCAAACCGG
rnacentral:rRNA from 1 species